rnacentral:rRNA from 1 species
AUUGAACGCUGGCGGCAGGCCUAACACAUGCAAGUCGAGCGGAUGAAGGGAGCUUUCUCCUGGAUUCAGCGGCGGACGGGUGAGUAAUGCCUAGGAAUCUGCCUGGUAUUGGGGGAUAACGUCCGGAAACGGGCGCUAAUACCGCAUACGUCCUGAGGUAGAAAGUGGGGGAUCUUCGGACCUCACGCUAUCUGAUGAGCCUAGGUCGAAUUAUCUAGUUGGUGGGGUAAAGGCCUACCAAGGCGACGAUCCGUAACUGGUCUGAGAGGAUGAUCAGUCACACUGGAACUGAGACACGGUCCAGACUCCUACGGGAGGCAGCAGUGGGGAAUAUUCGACAAUGGGCGAAAGCCUGAUCCAGCCAUGCCGCGUGUGUGAAGAAGGUCUUCGGAUUGUAAAGCACUUUAAGUUGGGAGGAAGGGCAGUAAGUUAAUCCAUGCACGUUUUGACGUUACCAACAGAAUAAGCACCGGCUAGCUUCGUG